UUUUAUCGGCAGCAGCAGCAGCAACAGCAACGUCAGCAGCAUUACGCCUCUCUUUCUCUAAGUCUGAAGGACAUCAUAAGAAUCAGAAAAAGGGUGCCGGAAGAAUUUCUCUGCUAUGAUAUCAUUUCCUUUGUCUCAUUUCCUCUGAAGAUUUUAAUCUUGAGUACCUCACACCUAUUUCUUUAAUUCCUAGGAAGCUUGACAUGAAUGGCGAUUUCACAUUUACACUGUCUGCAAUCUGUGAGAGUUUCUUUCCCCUGCCGUCCUUCCGUUUCUAACAAUUAUUAUUAUGGUAGAGACAAUUUCACGAGAAAGAGCAGUUCCCUUGUUUAUGCCUCCACCAACAACUUGGACAGGGACCUUCAUCUUCAAUCAAAGGUACCUAUUUAUGCAGUCAGAUCAUACCCGGACUGUUGUGUUGUGGUACGGACUUACAGGUCUUAAACAGAGAAAAGAGAGAAUGAUAUUGCUGGAUGGUUUUUUCUCAUUAGCAUAUCUUGAAGCUGUCCAUUGUUGUUCGAUACCAUCUGGACUGUACGCUCCUUACUUCCAAAGAAAAAGUAUUACAUAGAAAUAUUUCUAAUAAGUGAUACAGAAGGAUUCUUCAUUGUUUUUAUCUUAUCUUGAUAAACCCAUUAGCAUUUAUAGAAUCAAUACUGACUACAUCUAACCCCUGUUCUUUAGCUGUUUCUCAAAUAAAAUAAAAUUUUGUUA